rnacentral:tRNA from 1 species
ACCACGGUGGUCUAGCUGUUAGAACGCUGGCCUUGUAAUCCUGGGGUCUCGGGUUCGAUUCCCGGCGGUG